rnacentral:rRNA from 1 species
GGGUUGUGAGGUUAAGCGACUAAGCGUACACGGUGGAUGCCCUGGCAGUCAGAGGCGAUGAAGGGCGUGCUAAUCUGCGAUAAGCGCCGGUAAGGUGAUAUGAACCGUUAUAACCGGCGAUACCCGAAUGGGGAAACCCAGUGUGACUCGUCACACUAUCAUUAACUGAAUCCAUAGGUUAAUGAGGCGAACCGGGGGAACUGAAACAUCUAAGUACCCCGAGGAAAAGAAAUCAACCGAGAUUCCCCCAGUAGCGGCGAGCGAACGGGGAGGAGCCCAGAGCCUGAAUCAGCAUGUGUGUUAGUGGAAGCGUCUGGAAAGGCGCGCGAUACAGGGUGACAGCCCCGUACACAAAAGCGCAUGUGCUGUGAGCUCGAUGAGUAGGGCGGGACACGUGGUAUCCUGUCUGAAUAUGGGGGGACCAUCCUCCAAGGCUAAAUACUCCUGACUGACCGAUAGUGAACCAGUACCGUGAGGGAAAGGCGAAAAGAACCCCGGCGAGGGGAGUGAAAAAGAACCUGAAACCGUGUACGUACAAGCAGUGGGAGCACCCUUUGGGUGUGACUGCGUACCUUUUGUAUAAUGGGUCAGCGACUUAUAUUCUGUAGCAAGGUUAACCGAAUAGGGGAGCCGGAGGGAAACCGA